rnacentral:rRNA from 1 species
AGACGACGAGGUUGAUAGGUUCGAGGUGGAAGUGCGGUAACGUAUGCAGCUGACGAAUACUAAUCGGUCGAGGGCUUAACCUAAU